rnacentral:rRNA from 1 species
AGAGUUUGAUCAUGGCUCAGGAUGAACGCUAGCUACAGGCUUAACACAUGCAAGUCGAGGGGAAACGACAUCGAAAGCUUGCUUUUGAUGGGCGUCGACCGGCGCACGGGUGAGUAACGCGUAUCCAACCUGCCCAUCACUUGGGGAUAACCUUGCGAAAGUAAGACUAAUACCCAAUGAUAUCUCUAGAAGGCAUCUGAAAGAGAUUAAAGAUUUAUCGGUGAUGGAUGGGGAUGCGUCUGGUUAGCUUGUUGGCGGGGUAACGGCCCACCAAAGCAACGAUCAGUAGGGGUUCUGAGAGGAAGGUCCCCCCANAUUGGAACUGAGACACGGUCCAAACUCCUACGGGAGGCA